UACAGAGGGGGCAAGCGUUGUUCGGAAUUACUGGGCGUAAAGGGCGCGUAGGCGGCCUGCUAAGUCGAACGUGAAAUCCCCGGGCUCAACCCGGGAACUGCGUCCGAUACUGGUUGGCUUGAAUCCGGGAGAGGGAUGCGGAAUUCCAGGUGUAGCGGUGAAAUGCGUAGAUAUCUGGAGGAACACCGGUGGCGAAGGCGGCAUCCUGGACCGGCAUUGACGCUGAGGCGCGAAAGCUAGGGGAGCAAACGGG
rnacentral:rRNA from 1 species